rnacentral:rRNA from 1 species
GAGGCANUAGCAUGCAGUCGAGCGAAUGGAUUGAGAGCUUGCUCUCAAGAAGUUAGCGGCGGACGGGUGAGUAACACGUGGGUAACCUGCCCAUAAGACUGGGAUAACUCCGGGAAACCGGGGCUAAUACCGGAUAAUAUUUUGAACUGCAUGGUUCGAAAUUGAAAGGCGGCUUCGGCUGUCACUUAUGGAUGGACCCGCGUCGCAUUAGCUAGUUGGUGAGGUAACGGCUCACCAAGGCAACGAUGCGUAGCCGACCUGAGAGGGUGAUCGGCCACACUGGGACUGAGACACGGCCCAGACUCCUACGGGAGGCAGCAGUAGGGAAUCUUCCGCAAUGGACGAAAGUCUGACGGAGCAACGCCGCGUGAGUGAUGAAGGCUUUCGGGUCGUAAAACUCUGUUGUUAGGGAAGAACAAGUGCUAGUUGAAUAAGCUGGCACCUUGACGGUACCUAACCAGAAAGCCACGGCUAACUACGUGCCAGCAGCCGCGGUAAUACGUAGGUGGCAAGCGUUAUCCGGAAUUAUUGGGCGUAAAGCGCGCGCAGGUGGUUUCUUAAGUCUGAUGUGAAAGCCCACGGCUCAACCGUGGAGGGUCAUUGGAAACUGGGAGACUUGAGUGCAGAAGAGGAAAGUGGAAUUCCAUGUGUAGCGGUGAAAUGCGUAGAGAUAUGGGAGGAACACCAGUGGCGAAGGCGACUUUCUGGUCUGUAACUGACACUGAGGCGCGAAAGCGUGGGGGAGCAAACAGGAUUAGAUACCCUGGUAGUCCACGCCGUAAACGAUGAGUGCUAAGUGUUAGAGGGUUUCCGCCCUUUAGUGCUGAAGUUAACGCAUUAAGCACUCCGCCUGGGGAGUACGGCCGCAAGGCUGAAACUCAAAGGAAUUGGACGGGGGCGCCGCACAAGCGGUG